AGUGGCGAACGGGUGAGUAAUACAUCGGAACGUACCUUAUCGUGGGGGAUAACGCAGCGAAAGCUGUGCUAAUACCGCAUACGCCCUGAGGGGGAAAGCGGGGGAUCGAAAGACCUCGCGCGAUUAGAGCGGCCGAUGCCUGAUUAGCUUGUUGGUGGGGUAAAAGCCCACCAAGGCGACGAUCAGUAGCUGGUCUGAGAGGACGAUCAGCCACACUGGGACUGAGACACGGCCCAGACUCCUACGGGAGGCAGCAGUGGGGAAUUUUGGACAAUGGGGGAAACCCUGAUCCAGCAAUGCCGCGUGAGUGAAGAAGGCCUUCGGGUUGUAAAGCUCUUUUGUCAGGGAAGAAACACCGGCUCUAACACAGUCCGGGAAUGACGGUACCUGAAGAA
rnacentral:rRNA from 1 species